CUUUUAUGACGAAUCCCAAAUAGGACGAAACGCGCGUCAAAC
rnacentral:hammerhead_ribozyme from 1 species